CCUGUAAAUUCAAUGGGAUGAAUUACACCUUGAUGAUAUUGAAUUGGAUCAAUAUCAUGAAUAACAAUAUCUGAGCUAUCAAAUCAACUCAUCGUCGAGAAUUGAAUAGUAUAACAUAGGAAGAUCUUUUAUCCAUACCAAAUCCAAAAUUGGAUUCCUCAUCCAACCCCUUUACUUUUCUUUUUUAUUUGAAUUUAUCUUUCUUUUUCAUUCUUCAUUCUUUUUUUUUCUAUAAACUACCGCCUUCCUUCUACAAUCA
rnacentral:lncRNA from 1 species